rnacentral:rRNA from 1 species
UACGUAGGGUGCGAGCGUUGUCCGGAAUCAUUGGGCGUAAAGAGCGUGUAGGCGGCUUGGCAAGUCUGACGUGAAAGCCCGCGGCUCAACCGCGGAUUGUCGUUGGAAACUGCCUCGCUAGAGUCCGGUAGGGGAGACUGGAAUUCCUGGUGUAGCGGUGAAAUGCGCAGAUAUCAGGAGGAACACCGAUGGCGAAGGCAGGUCUCUGGGCAUUAACUGACGCUGAGGAGCGAAAGCAUGGGGAGCGAACAAG